AUACGGAGGAUCCGAGCGUUAUCCGGAUUUAUUGGGUUUAAAGGGUGCGCAGGCGGCCAUUUAAGUCAGCGGUUAAAUCGAGGGGCUCAACCCCAUUCUGCCGUUGAUACUGGGUGGCUUGAUUGCGGUCGAGGUUGGCGGAAUUCGUUGUGUAGCGGUGAAAUGCAUAGAUAUGACGAAGAACACCGAUUGCGUAGGCAGCUGACCAGACCGCAAAUGACGCUCAUGCACGAAAGUGCGGGGAUCGAACAGGAUUAGAUACCCUGGUAGUCCGCACAGUAAACGACGAAUACUUGUUUUCGGCGAUAUAAUGUCGGAGGCAAAGCGAAAGCGAUAAGUAUUCCACCUGGGGAGUACGCCGGCAACGGUGAAACUCAAAGGAAUUGACGGGG
rnacentral:rRNA from 1 species